UUGAACAGCCCAUUAGAUUGGGUGCAAUCUAGCAUAUUUCCUGGGUGACUAGUGGAUUUUAUAAAAAAUGCUGGGCAUAACUACCAAAUUUGCAGCCAAGAUGUUUCUUGAGAGGUAUGCGUGCACUAUGCUUGCUGGAAUCACCAAAAAUAAGCUGUAUGAUCAAAGUGCUUGUUGGGUGAAAUGGUUCUUUAUUGACUGCUUCUUUGUGAUAGAUCUAUUUCAUGUUUGUUAUGUAUUUGAAAAUACAUCUUCAAUUGUUUUGAAUAUUUUCUUAGUGUUUUUUAUUUGACCUGUGCUGGCAUGUAGUAUACAUUAUUCUUGCUUGAGCGACUCUCUCCACUUUCUAGAAUUAGUGAACAGUCCUUGCUUCCAGAGGUUCAAUCUUAUCUUGCUAUAUCUCACAUUCUCUUGAACUGUCACUUAUACCUUAUUUGUUUCUUGUCAGUGGUCGACGCAUUUAGUUGCUAAAAUUAGGGAACAAUGCAUCAUGUCUAAAGAUCACUAUAGGCUACAAUCUGUUUUCCUUUUGACCAUCACUUAUGCCUACUUGCCUUCUGCUUGUUCCAUGCUCAAGGCAUGUCUUUUGCUAGAACAGGAACAAAACUGUCCCCUCCAAGAUUUAACUCCUAUGUGCUAUAUCUCACUUUCUUUUGAAUGGUCACUCAUGCUUACUUGCCUUUUGCUCAUUCAGUUCUUAGGAUGCAUCUUUCUUUGAAUUAGGAAACAAUCCAUUACUUUU
rnacentral:lncRNA from 1 species